rnacentral:rRNA from 1 species
CGCUAGCUACAGGCUUAACACAUGCAAGUCGAGGGUCAGCAUGGUCUUAGCUUGCUAAGGCCGAUGGCGACCGGCGCACGGGUGAGUAACACGUAUCCAACCUGCCGUCUACUCUUGGACAGCCUUCUGAAAGGAAGAUUAAUACAAGAUGGCAUCAUGAGUCCGCAUGUUCACAUGAUUAAAGGUAUUCCGGUAGACGAUGGGGAUGCGUUCCAUUAGAUAGUAGGCGGGGUAACGGCCCACCUAGUCUUCGAUGGAUAGGGGUUCUGAGAGGAAGGUCCCCCACAUUGGAACUGAGACACGGUCCAAACUCCUACGGGAGGCAGCAGUGAGGAAUAUUGGUCAAUGGGCGAGAGCCUGAACCAGCCAAGUAGCGUGAAGGAUGACUGCCCUAUGGGUUGUAAACUUCUUUUAUAAAGGAAUAAAGUCGGGUAUGGAUACCCGUUUGCAUGUACUUUAUGAAUAAGGAUCGGCUAACUCCGUGCCAGCAGCCGCGGUAAUACGGAGGAUCCGAGCGUUAUCCGGAUUUAUUGGGUUUAAAGGGAGCGUAGAUGGAUGUUUAAGUCAGUUGUGAAAGUUUGCGGCUCAACCGUAAAAUUGCAGUUGAUACUGGAUAUCUUGAGUGCAGUUGAGGUAGGCGGAAUUCGUGGUGUAGCGGUGAAAUGCUUAGAUAUCACGAAGAACUCCGAUUGCGAAGGCAGCCUGCUAAGCUGCAACUGACAUUGAGGCUCGAAAGUGUGGGUAUCAAACAGGAUUAGAUACCCUGGUAGUCCACACGGUAAACGAUGAAUACUCGCUGUUUGCGAUAUACAGCAAGCGGCCAAGCGAAAGCGUUAAGUAUUCCACCUGGGGAGUACGCCGGCAACGGUGAAACUCAAAGGAAUUGACGGGGGCCCGCACAAGCGGAGGAACAUGUGGUUUAAUUCGAUGAUACGCGAGGAACCUUACCCGGGCUUAAAUUGCAGAUGAAUUACGGUGAAAGCCGUAAGCCGCAAGGCAUCUGUGAAGGUGCUGCAUGGUUGUCGUCAGCUCGUGCCGUGAGGUGUCGGCUUAAGUGCCAUAACGAGCGCAACCCUUGUUGUCAGUUACUAACAGGUUCCGCUGAGGACUCUGACAAGACUGCCAUCGUAAGAUGUGAGGAAGGUGGGGAUGACGUCAAAUCAGCACGGCCCUUACGUCCGGGGCUACACACGUGUUACAAUGGGGGGUACAGAGGGCCGCUACCACGCGAGUGGAUGCCAAUCCCCAAAACCUCUCUCAGUUCGGACUGGAGUCUGCAACCCGACUCCACGAAGCUGGAUUCGCUAGUAAUCGCGCAUCAGCCACGGCGCGGUGAAUACGUUCCCGGGCCUUGUACACACCGCCCGUCAAGCCAUGGGAGCCGGGGGUACAAGGAGUGCGUAACCGCGAGGAGCGCCCUAGGGUAAA